GGUAUUUGAAUAUAUUUCAGAUAUUUAUUUUGGUUUUCAGGUAUAUGUCAAGAGAAACGCAUUUUUAAUUAAAAAAUGAAAGUUCACAUCGUUAAUACAUUUCAAUAAUGAAAAUAUAUUUUCUUAAAUAUUGUAUAUCUAUAUUUUUAGACAUAAAUAUCAUCUUUAAAUAUGUUUUGAACAAAUCUCACACUUUGAAAAUAAAAUAAUAACGAAUGAUAAAAUGAAACUCAAUUGUUAAAAUGCAAAAUCAAAAAUAAUGGUAAUUCUUAAAUUAAUUAAUGAUAAAUUAAAAAUAAAUAUCAAAUCUAACUAUAUUAAAAGGAAGAUAUACUCAAUUCUAAAACUGUGCAUGUAGGAUUAAAAAAAUAGCCAAAGAGAACUUUUUUUUAACACGUCAUACCUGUUUCUGUGCAAAGAAGAGAGAAACUGGGUUUUCGUCUGGGCUGUCCAAAGAUAAAAAGUCAGUUCAAGCCCAUUAAUGCUUAGCCUAACAAACGUGGAAGCGUUGAGCUCAUCUUCCCUAUCCCAACUCUUAAGCUUCAUCUUUACAGUUGGUGUAUAUGAUAAUGGGAAUUUUAUUCUUAAGCUUAAGGUUGGAAUGAAAAAUGUCUGCAUAGACCCAACCAGACACUGUCACAUUCUUUGAAGGUUAUCAAGAUAUCAGUAGGACAGCUAUGAAUCUGAAGUUUGGCACUAUAAUAUAGGAGUUGCGAAGAGGAUCGGCGACGGCUCCACCGAUUGAGAUGCUCCGUGAAGGAUUACGCUUGGGGCAAAAUUGGGUCGGAUUCACUCGUGUACAGAGUCUACGCGGUGAAUUCCGAUGGACAGAUCGAUUCGACAAGACCGUACGCGGAGCUUUGGAUGGGGACUCACGAGUCAGGUCCGAGUUACUUGGAGGAUGAUGCUGAUGGCGUCACGCUUAGAUCGUGGAUUGCUGAAAACCCUGAGGCUCUUGGAGAUAGGGUUUUGGAUAAAUGGGGUUGCGAUCUCUCGUUUCUCUUCAAGGUACAUUGUUAAAGAUCUCUGCUUUUUUUUUUUUAGGAUUUGGAGACUUGAUUUGGUUCGCCAUGAACUUGGACAACGUCAGGAGUCACUCUUGAGAUUCAGAUCUUUGGGGAUUUCAAAUGGUUUAAUGCUUCUUAUGUUCCUGUCUUCGAGGGGCUACAAGAAUCUGAUAGGCAUAUCUAUUAUUUCUCUUCACACAAUAAUAAUGGACGAAGACAAAGCAAAUUCAAAAACCCCAAAUAUCUCAUGAAGUGUAAUAUUCUUCAUUCCCAGCUUAGAGAUCUCUGACAUAUUUUGAUAUUUGAGCUUCUAGGCAUUUCACAGACGGCUUUGAGUGAUGUUCUUCCUGAGUAUGUGGAAUCACACGUGUGGAAGAAGAGGCCAGAUUAAAAGUUGAUGCAGCUGCAAACCAACAAGAAAAAUAAACAAAGGUACAUAUACAAAUUUCACUAUAAUAUAUGACUAUCUAUCUUAUGUCUUCCCUUUGUUGGUGUCACUUGGAGUCACAGAAUCUAAUGAAUCCAGCUUAGUGUUUCAGUGUAUACAAUGGGAUAUAUAUAUAAAACACUAGCUGAAUAAAGCAGGUUAGCCAGAAAAUGAACUGGCAGCAUUGAAGAGGCAGCUCAUGUCCCCAAUGUCUACCACAGUUACAUCAUAUGAUGGUACAAGGAAACUGGGGUUUGUGAGCCGGUUACAGGGAAUGUGCAAGGUACUGAGCUUCCUGAACAGUGUGAUGAUGAUCUGUUGGAGAAGACAAAGUAGAGAUCGCUCAUAAAGAAGUCCAUGAUGCUUUGUUUGGAGGACCUGCCAGAAAUAGAGAGGAAGCCGGUAAAGAAGCUAAAGAAGACAUUGAAAAUGGUAACCAAGGCUUUGGGUGUGCUAGAGAGGACAAAUAGACACAAACUAGCUCAGUGAGUAAAUCAUGUUGACUAAUUACUUGUGAUACAGUUUGGAAUUAUAAUAUGCAGAACAUGAUCGUAUUAUUAUCGUGAGAUAUUAUGUACUUCUGUUUUUUCUCAAUUCCACAAUGUUAAUUUAUUGCAGAGUUCUUUGUACUCUUUCCAUUACUUGGCAUGUCACUGGAAUUACAUCUUUGAAUGUGCAAUCUUUAUUUUAGGUA